GUUUUGGAAAAAAAACAAAGCUUGUCAAAGCCUUUUUGGACUCUUGCCAAAGCUUGGCACAUCUCUUUCAAAUUCAAGCUCGUUUAAUAAUCAGUGGUCUUUUACAAGUCCAAAACCCAUCAUUUUCUUGCAGACUUUUGAAGCUCUGUUCUCGUUAUUGUGAUAUCAAUUAUACUGCGUUGGUAUUUAAAUGCAUUGACUUUCCUGAUGCAUUUUCCGUUAAUACUGCUAUAAGGUCUUAUGCUUGCCGUUCUGUGCCACAUAAUGCUGUGCUAUUCUCUUCCGAAAGGCUGAAAACGGUCAUUUGCUCCUAAUAGCUUUACUUUUCCACCUCUUAUGAGCGCUUGUGCAAAUACGGGUACCGGUCGUUUGGAGUUGGGCCAGAAGUGUCAUGGCCAAUGAAAAAUGGAGUUAAUGGGGUUUUGCAGGUUCAGAAUUCUUUGGUACAUUUUUAAGCUAGUUGUGGGUUUAUUGAUCUUGCACGUCAGGCGUUUGAUGAAAUGACUGACAGGGAUGUUGUGUCUUGGAAUAGCAUUGUGAAUGGAUAUGUGAAAGCGGGUGAAUUAGUUGUUGCACGACCGUUGUUUGAUGCAAUGCCUAAGACGAAUUUGGUCGGGUGGAAUGUCAUAAUGACUGGUUACUUGGAUUCUCAUAACCUUGGCAAGUGCCUAAAGUUGUUUCGAGAAAUGGCCGAGUGGGGGUUGAAGGGUAAUGAUGCAACUAUAGUCAUUGCUCUUACUGCUUGCGCUCGGUCAGCUUGAAUGAACGAAUGAAAAUCUGUUCAUGGGUCUCUUAUUAAUGUAUCUAAAGAUUUGAAUUUGAUUAUUAGUACGACUUUGAUCCAUUUGUAUAGUAGAUGCGGAAGAGCAGAAAUUGCUCGUCUAAUUUUUGAUAGGAUGUCAGUCAAGAACAUAGUAUGCUGGAAUGCAAUGAUUUUAGGGUAUUGCAGUCGUGGAAAUUGGAAACCCAAAAGACGGGCUUAAUCUGUAUGCAGAUUUGGUGAGUAGAGAGUUAGAAGAUACAGAAAUAAAUCAUGUUAAGAACAUGAAGCAAGUUGAUGGGGAUUGUGUUCUUCCAGAUGAAAUCACUUUUGUUGGUGUCUUAUGCGCUUGUGCCCGUGAAGGACUGCUAACAGAAGCAAGAACACACUUUGGCGACAUGAGCAAUGUGUUUGGUGUGAAGCCCGAUUUCGUACAUUAUUGGUGCAUGGCUAAUCUUCUAGCACAUGUUGGUCUAAUGCAAGAGGCACUCCAAAUACUAAAGAACAUUUCGAUAGAGAGCAAUUUGCCACUGGAAUCCUCAUUGUGGUCUGAAUUGCUUGGCUCAACUCGUUUUAGAGGAGAUGUAAUUGUAGGAGAACAAAUUGCAAAUAAGUUACUUGAACAAGAUCCCGAGAAUUUUCAGUAUUAUUUAUUGCUGGUCAACAUCUAUGCUGCAGCCGGUCGUUGGGAUGAAGUAGCUCAAACAAAGGAGAUGAUGAAGAAGAGGGGGAUGGAAAGAGUGCCAGAUUGCAGUUUAAAAGACUUGAAGGAAUUAGUUCACAACAUGUUAGCCACAUAAAUUGCAGGUUGUUUAAAAGCUUAAACUCAGUAUUCAAGACCACCAGCCAAGAUGCAGAACAAAGAGGGAUAAAACAUAGAUCUUUACAUCUCCGGCAAAUGAUAAUCCCUGUCUACAAUGAAAAGCACCCAAGGGUGUAGCCCAGUUGUCAAUGAAGUGGGUGGAGAACCAUGAGGUCUCAGGUUCAAAUUCCAGUGGAGACAAACACACUAGGUUAUUUAUUCUCAUUUGUUUAAGCUUGGAGGACAAAGUUAUCGGUGUUUGUGCUGGUGGGAGGUAGCAGGUAUCCAAUGGAAUUAGUCGAGGUGUGCACAAGCUAGCCCGGACACCAUCGUUACCAAAAUAAAUAAAUAAAUAAUUUUAGCUUACCUCUGCACAUGAUUGCAGUUCUACUAUGAAUCCUUUAGAUAUUAGAUUCCAAUUUCUUUUAUCAAGAGUGCAAUGAUAAGUGAGAUUUUUGGAGACAAGAAUAUCAACUGAGUACGUUGUGUCAACAUGCUUUCUUAUUUUGAUUGAGGAGUUUGUAGAAUUGCCUGACUAAUAAAUGAAUCUCCUCGAUAGGUGAUUCAUGAAGAAUUUGUUCAGUCUUCUUUUUCCAGCAAAUUCAGAAUGUCAUCAACUUACUUUUUUUCUUUUUCUGUUUAACCAUUAUGUUCGAGGUGUGAAAGAACUUCCGCAGCUGGAACUAAAUGAGAGGAACUUAGCAAGCAGGAGAUAAACAUUCAUAUAUUUGUCAUAAUCAUCUUUUUGAAUCCAGAUGAUACAAUCAUGUUUUGGCCUUAUGUGAUAAUCAAUGAUUAGCUAUAGCGUUUGCCAUAGUUGUUGCCCGGAGCUUGCAGGAUAAACUAGAACCAUUAUCUAAUCCAAGUAGAUAGAUAGAAAGAUAGCGGACCAAAUAAUUCAGCUGCAAACUUGGCUACACAAUGGAAUUUGUUGAGGUUCAUUUGCAUUUGAGGAUUUCAAAAAGGUAUUUCUUGAUAAAGAAGCUUGACUCUUUCUGGCUGAUUUUGCAUGGAACAGCAAUCACUUUACCAUUUUAGAUGGAAAAGAAGUCACCAUUUUUCUGACAAUUUGUAAAUUUGAUGCAAAGCUAUGUUCUCUUGAUAAGUUGAAGUAUUAGAAAAUUGCAUGAGCUAUGAUGACAUUUCAACUCUGAACUAAUUUUGGAUCAAAUUGCAAUACAGAAAUUUCUCUUUGAUUUUGCAAAUAGAAGAAAAUACUAACUCAUUUGUAAUCCUUUUGCAUUGUUUCUGCCAAAGGGAACUCUUUCUGUUUCUGUUCCGUUAGAAAUACAAGAAUUGUUAUGAAUUGUCCAGAAGCUAAGAUUUUUAGUUUAAAAACUCAGGACAAAAUAAGUAUUGGCUAAUCAAUAAUAGCAUCCCUGAAAAUAGUUAUUUGUGCACUUGUCCCAAAAAUGAUAGAAACAUGACACCAUAAAGGGUGGUAUUUAACUUUGGGCCUUUGCCAUAGGUCACCAAGCCAUAACAAGUUUUGCCCAUUGGUCAGAUGACCUGUCCCAAAGGUUAAAUAUUCAACAUCAGCUCCUUUCAAGGUCAUUUGUGAACCCAGAAGUUUUAUUUUGUGUCUCUUACAACUGACACUAGUUAUAUGAGACUUCUUUUUGUCUCACAAAUUUGUGGACCCUAAUCUUACACUUUUGGGUCCACAAAAUUGUGGGUCCACAAAAUUGUGAGAUAAAAAGUUGCCUCAUACAACUAGUGUCAGUUGUAUGAGACACAAAAUAAAAUUUUUCUUUGUGAACAUAACUAUCGUUCCAUCAUGUUGGGCCCGUAAUAGUAGUAAGGGAUCUUUACACAAAUAGCCAGUUAGAUUCAUUGUCUAUAUUUUUUAUUCGGUACGCAUAGAUUAUAUACUGAUUAUAUACGGUGAUUUAUAUAUUAUACAUGGAUUAUACAUAUUAUGUAUUUGCUAGUGAUUUAUAGUUUAAGCGGUUGGAUGAGUGCCUAUUUAGGUGAAUUCUCUAUUAAUAGAAAUGCUGUAAAAGGAAAUUUAUACUUUUUUCACAAUUAACAUGGGCAGGCCGGCAGGGACAUAAAAAGUUGCUCUACUGUCAUUUUAUCUUUUGCAAAAAAGAGUUGUAUUAUCCGUCACGAACUCAUCAGUUCCUGUUAGGUAACAACGACUAGG